rnacentral:rRNA from 1 species
CAGUAGCCGCGGUAAUACAGAGGGUGCGAGCGUUAAUCGGAUUUACUGGGCGUAAAGCGUGCGUAGGCGGCUUCUUAAGUCGGAUGUGAAAUCCCUGAGCUUAACUUAGGAAUUGCAUUCGAUACUGGGAAGCUAGAGUAUGGGAGAGGAUGGUAGAAUUCCAGGUGUAGCGGUGAAAUGCGUAGAGAUCUGGAGGAAUUCCGAUGGCGAAGGCAGCCAUCUGGCCUAAUACUGACGCUGAGGUACGAAAGCAUGGGGAGCAAACAGGAUUAGAUACCCCCGUAGUCCCUGUCUCUUAUAC